rnacentral:rRNA from 1 species
GUCUGGGAAACUGCCUGAUGGAGGGGGAUAACUACUGGAAACGGUAGCUAAUACCGCAUAACGUCGCAAGACCAAAGAGGGGGACCUUCGGGCCUCUUGCCAUCGGAUGUGCCCAGAUGGGAUUAGCUUGUUGGUGGGGUAACGGCUCACCUAGGCGACGAUCCCUAGCUGGUCUGAGAGGAUGACCAGCCACACUGGAACUGAGACACGGUCCAGACUCCUACGGGGAGGAGGCAGCAGUGGGGAAUAUUGCACAAUGGGCGCAAGCCUGAUGCAGCCAUGCCGCGUGUAUGAAGAAGGCCUUCGGGUUGUAAAGUACUUUCAGCGGGGAGGAAGGUGUUGUGGUUAAUAACCGCAGCAAUUGACGUUACCCGCAGAAGAAGCACCGGCUAACUCCGUGCCAGCAGCCGCGGUAAUACGGAGGGUGCAAGCGUUAAUCGGAAUUACUGGGCGUAAAGCGCACGCAGGCGGUCUGUCAAGUCGGAUGUGAAAUCCCCGGGCUCAACCUGGGAACUGCAUUCGAAACUGGCAGGCUUGAGUCU